rnacentral:rRNA from 1 species
GAGUGAAAUAGAACCUGAAACCGUGUGCUUACAAGUAGUCAGAGCCCGUUAAUGGGUGAUGGCGUGCCUUUUGUAGAAUGAACCGGCGAGUUACGAUUUGAUGCAAGGUUAAGCAGUAAAUGUGGAGCCGUAGCGAAAGCGAGUCUGAAUAGGGCGUUUAGUAUUUGGUCGUAGACCCGAAACCAGGUGAUCUACCCUUGGUCAGGUUGAAGUUCAGGUAACACUGAAUGGAGGACCGAACCGACUUACGUUGAAAAGUGAGCGGAUGAACUGAGGGUAGCGGAGAAAUUCCAAUCGAACCUGGAGAUAGCUGGUUCUCUCCGAAAUAGCUUUAGGGCUAGCCUCAAGUGAUGAUUAUUGGAGGUAGAGCACUGUUUGGACGAGGGGCCCCUCUCGGGUUACCGAAUUCAGACAAACUCCGAAUGCCAAUUAAUUUAACUUGGGAGUCAGAACAUGGGUGAUAAGGUCCGUGUUCGAAAGGGAAACAGCCCAGACCACCAGCUAAGGUCCCAAAAUAUAUGUUAAGUGGAAAAGGAUGUGGCGUUGCCCAGACAACUAGGAUGUUGGCUUAGAAGCAGCCAUCAUUUAAAGAGUGCGUAAUAGCUCACUAGUCGAGUGACACUGCGCCGAAAAUGUACCGGGGCUAAACAUAUUACCGAAGCUGUGGAUUGUCCUUUGGACAAUGGUAGGAGAGCGUUCUAAGGGCGUUGAAGCAUGAUCGUAAGGACAUGUGGAGCGCUUAGAAGUGAGAAUGCCGGUGUGAGUAGCGAAAGACGGGUGAGAAUCCCGUCCACCGAUUGACUAAGGUUUCCAGAGGAAGGCUCGUCCGCUCUGGGUUAGUCGGGUCCUAAGCUGAGGCCGACAGGCGUAGGCGAUGGAUAACAGGUUGAUAUUCCUGUACCACCUAUAAUCGUUUUAAUCGAUGGGGGGACGCAGUAGGAUAGGCGAAGCGUGCGAUUGGAUUGCACGUCUAAGCAGUAAGGCUGAGUAUUAGGCAAAUCCGGUACUCGUUAAGGCUGAGCUGUGAUGGGGAGAAGACAUUGUGUCUUCGAGUCGUUGAUUUCACACUGCCGAGAAAAGCCUCUAGAUAGAAAAUAGGUGCCCGUACCGCAAACCGACACAGGUAGUCAAGAUGAGAAUUCUAAGGUGAGCGAGCGAACUCUCGUUAAGGAACUCGGCAAAAUGACCCCGUAACUUCGGGAGAAGGGGUGCUCUUUAGGGUUAACGCCCAGAAGAGCCGCAGUGAAUAGGCCCAAGCGACUGUUUAUCAAAAACACAGGUCUCUGCUAAACCGUAAGGUGAUGUAUAGGGGCUGACGCCUGCCCGGUGCUGGAAGGUUAAGAGGAGUGGUUAGCUUCUGCGAAGCUACGAAUCGAAGCCCCAGUAAACGGCGGCCGUAACUAUAACGGUCCUAAGGUAGCGAAAUUCCUUGUCGGGUAAGUUCCGACCCGCACGAAAGGCGUAACGAUUUGGGCACUGUCUCAACGAGAGACUCGGUGAAAUCAUAG